CCUACGGGAGGCAGCAGUGGGGAAUCUUCCACAAUGGGGGAAACCCUGAUGCAGCAACGCCGCGUGAGUGAUGACGGCCUUCGGGUUGUAAAGCUCUGUCUUCAGGGACGAUAAUUACGGUACCUGAGGAGGAAGCCACGGAUAACUACGAGCCAGCAGCCGCGGUAAUACGUAGGUGGCGAGCGUUGUCCGGAUUUACUGGGCGUAAAGGGAGCGUAGGCGGACUUUUAAGUGAGAUGUGAAAGACUCGGGCUUAACUUGAGUGUUGCAUUUCAAACUGGAAGAAUAGAGUGCAGGAGAGGAGAAUGGAAUUCCAAGUGUAGCGGUGGAAUGCGUAGAGAUUAGGAAGAACACCAGUGGCGAAGGCGAGUCUCUGGACUGUAACUGACGCUGAGGCUCGAAAGCGUGGGGAGCGAACAGGAUUAGAUACCCUUGUAGUC
rnacentral:rRNA from 1 species